rnacentral:sRNA from 1 species
AUCCCUUUUGCUCUCUGCCUUUUUCUGACUCAUGCCCGAACCUUGUCUUAUCUUUGUCUCUUUUUUUGGUUGUGUCUUUCUGCCUGUGCCUCCCUCUCUCUCUCUCUCUCUCUGUUCUGUCUUCACUCUUCCAGUUUCCAUUUCUGAGUCUUGCAUACACACACACACACACACGUUGCCACACAGCCCCUCGCCCCGUCCCUGGGUGACAAGCUCAGGCGCAGUGGGGUGUGGCGCUCAGCAGCAGGGGAGACAGUGAGCAGGGAGGAGAGGGGGAGGAAGCAUGCCUCCCCAGCCUGGCCCAAGGCACCAGGAACAGGCCUUGUUGCUGGUGGCGGCCUUGGCGGGCCUGGGCUUGGGCCUGAGCCUCAUUUUCAUCGCUGUCUACCUCAUCCGUUUCUGCUGCUGCCGGCCCCCCGAGCCCCCCGGGUCCAAGAUCCCCUCGCCCGGGGGAGGCUGCGUCACCUGGAGCUGCAUUGUUGCCCUUCUCGCCGCACUGGCAUUGGCAUCGGUUUCUAUGGCAACAGUGAGACCAGUGAUGGGGUGUCCCAGCUCAGCUCC